AAACCAUGAUAUGGGCGGAAUCUCAUCAUGUCCUUGUAUCUCUCACGUUUCAAAAUUAGAUUCAUCGGCGGUCUGCCUAAAACAGGUCAUCUAGUUUCUCAACAU